rnacentral:rRNA from 1 species
UACGGGGGGGGCAAGCGUUGUUCGGAAUUACUGGGCGUAAAGGGCGCGUAGGCGGGCAGGUAAGUCCGUGGUGAAAUCUCUGAGCUUAACUCAGAAACUGCCAUGGAUACUAUUUGUCUUGAAUAUUGUGGAGGUAAGCGGAAUAUGUCAUGUAGCGGUGAAAUGCUUAGAUAUGACAUAGAACACCAAUUGCGAAGGCAGCUUACUACACAGUUAUUGACGCUGAGGCACGAAAGCGUGGGGAUCAAACAGG